rnacentral:lncRNA from 1 species
GCAGCUUCUCGUACUGCAGCCGAACUUCCUCCUUCAGUUGGUUCACUUUCUCCUGCGAGUACAGAGGGCAGGAGUGGGCAGGCAGGCUUACUGCAUGGCUGCUUCUCCACGACCAAACCCACCAGGAGCUGGUUCAGGGAGGAUUCAGGGCCAACUCCUGCUACAGACAGCGCCUGGGAGAACAGUGGGAGCUGCUGCCGCUUCAAGCCUGGGAAACUGGAAGGAAGAUGGGAAAUACCUGCCUGCCGUCCCCUUCACGACCCCACCCCAGUUCACCGAAUGAGCAAAUCAGGUUGCCAAGACACUGGAAAAUGCUGGAAAACAGGGAGCAGAGGAAGCAAGGCCCAGACCCCCCACCACCAGCAGCCUCCUUUCCAUCCCAACCCCCACCUGCCUCCCCAGGGAAUGGCUAAGAGCCAAGGCCCCACUUCCCACCUGGGAAAAACCCAUAGCUGAGAUCCGACCAGAUUUCCCAGCUCAGUUCAGAGCAAGUACUCUCUGCGCAGGCAGGUGGGCUGGAGGCACCUUACACAUGCCACCGCCCCAUCCCCCCACAGCAGUGCAUGGCCUGGACUGCGUACACUGGAGCAUGCAGGAGCAGAGCAGAGUGGAACGUGGCCUGGGCUAGAAGCUCUGGAGGCCCCAGGCCACCAGGGAGACUGGGACUAGGUGGGGCCCAGGGAGGACCUUCACACCCCCAGCCCUGCCUGUCGGGCCUCAGGCCUUUGGUGAUCUGCCCGGGGCCUAUGAGGACAAAAGCAUGAAGAAUCAGGAGCCGCCAUUCCCACCCUCCACCACCUGGGCCCCCACUCCUCAGCUUUGCCGCUGCUUCCUCUGACUCCCCUCCCGGCCUGGAGCAGCGAACCCUGAGCCCCUACAUUCCUGCCCCAGGAAAGCCUCAUGUCCCUCUGGAGACUGACUGGCCAGGCCAGCUGCCAUUUUUGAUGCCAGACUAGACUGGGCAGACGGGUGAGGCUUGGGGACUCUGGGCUGUAUAAAAGUUAAUAAAUAAUAAUAAUAAAACCCUCAAGUCAACCUUGAAGAGAAACAAGGUCAGGAGGAAACAGGGCCCCAGG